AGCUUUGUGCAGUGGCAGUAUCGUAGCCAAUGAGGUUUAUCCGAGGUGCGAUUAUUGCUAAUUGAAACUUUUACCAAUAAAUAUUUGUAUUUCAGUUAAAGGCAUAUUGUUAGUUUUACAGAAGAAGACUUC
rfam:Ailuropoda melanoleuca scaffold1875_7, whole genome shotgun sequence.